rnacentral:rRNA from 1 species
CCUACGGGGGGGCAGCAGUGGGGAAUAUUGGACAAUGGGGGGAACCCUGAUCCAGCCAUGCCGCGUGUGUGAAGAAGGCCCUCGGGUUGUAAAGCACUUUCAGUGAGGAAGAACGCCUGGUGGUUAAUACCCAUCAGGAAAGACAUCACUCACAGAAGAAGCACCGGCUAACUCCGUGCCAGCAGCCGCGGUAAUACGGAGGGUGCGAGCGUUAAUCGGAAUUACUGGGCGUAAAGCGCGCGUAGGUGGCUUGAUAAGCCGGUUGUGAAAGCCCCGGGCUCAACCUGGGAACGGCAUCCGGAACUGUCAAGCUAGAGUGCAGGAGAGGAAGGUAGAAUUCCCGGUGUAGCGGUGAAAUGCGUAGAGAUCGGGAGGAAUACCAGUGGCGAAGGCGGCCUUCUGGACUGACACUGACACUGAGGUGCGAAAGCGUGGGUAGCAAACAGGAUUAGAUACCCUUGUAGUC